CCCUGGGUGUUAGAUGAGUCACAUUUUAU
rnacentral:piRNA from 1 species